CCUACGGGUGGCAGCAGUAGGGAAUCUUCGGCAAUGGGGGCAACCCUGACCGAGCAACGCCGCGUGAGUGAAGAAGGUUUUCGGAUCGUAAAACUCUGUUGUUAGAGAAGAACAAGUAGGAGAGUAACUGCUCUUGCCUUGACGGUAUCUAACCAGAAAGCCACGGCUAACUACGUGCCAGCAGCCGCGGUAAUACGUAGGUGGCAAGCGUUGUCCGGAUUUAUUGGGCGUAAAGCGAGCGCAGGCGGUCUUUUAAGUCUGAUGUGAAAGCCCUCGGCUCAACCGAGGAAGGUCAUUGGAAACUGGAGGACUUGAGUGCAGAAGAGGAGAGUGGAAUUCCAUGUGUAGCGGUGAAAUGCGUAGAUAUAUGGAGGAACACCAGUGGCGAAGGCGACUCUCUGGUCUGUAACUGACGCUGAGGCUCGAAAGCGUGGGGAGCAAACAGGAUUAGAUACCCCGGUAGUC
rnacentral:rRNA from 1 species